rnacentral:rRNA from 1 species
AGCGAACGCUGGCGGCAGGCCUAACACAUGCAAGUCGAACGAACCUUUCGGGGUUAGUGGCGGACGGGUGAGUAACACGUGGGAACGUGCCUUUAGGUUCGGAAUAACUCAGGGAAACUUGUGCUAAUACCGAAUGUGCCCUUCGGGGGAAAGAUUUAUCGCCUUUAGAGCGGCCCGCGUCUGAUUAGCUAGUUGGUUGAGGUAAUGGCUCACCAAGGCGACGAUCAGUAGCUGGUCUGAGAGGAUGAUCAGCCACAUUGGGACUGAGACACGGCCCAAACUCCUACGGGAGGCAGCAGUGGGGAAUCUUGCGCAAUGGGCGAAAGCCUGACGCAGCCAUGCCGCGUGAAUGAUGAAGGUCUUAGGAUUGUAAAAUUCUUUCACCGGGGACGAUAAUGACGGUACCCGGAGAAGAAGCCCCUGCUAACUUCGUG